rnacentral:rRNA from 1 species
AUGGCGAUGGUGUUGGAUGCGUUUGCAUCCUACAUCGGGGACUACCUCAAGCAGGUGGUACAAGAUGAGCUCGGAACGAUGCUGGGUGUCUCAGGCGAGAUCGACAAGUUGGGCGACAAGCUUCAAGACCUCAAGAACUUCCUCGCUGACGCUGAUAGGAGGAAUAUCAGCGACGAGACCGUCCGAGUCUGGGUGGGGCAGCUCAAGCGUGCCAUGUACGAAGCUGCUGACAUCCUCGACCUCUGCCAACUCAAGGCACUGGAGCGUGGGUCUUCCUCCACAGAUGAUGGGUGUUGCAAUCCCUUACUCUUUUGCAUGCGGAAUCCCUUCCAUGCUCGUGAGAUCGGCACCCGCAUCAAGGCGCUCAACCAGAGGCUUGAUAGCAUCAAGCAGCGCAGCGCUGCUUUCAACUUCAUCAAUCUUGGGUCCUAUGAGGAUUGUCAUAGCAGCAAUGCCCAUGCCUCUCGUCAGGGUAAUCCUAGCCGGGAGACGGUAGGGGACUUUGACCGGUCAGCUGUGGUUGGAGACAAGAUUGAAGAAGAUACAAAAGCACUAGUGGCUCUGAUUAUGCAAAAGGGAAAGGAGGUCAAUGAUGACAUCAUGGUGUUCGCCAUCGUAGGUGUCGGUGGGGUUGGCAAGACCACUCUUGCCCAGAAGGUCUUCAAUGACGAGGCAAUCCAGGGCGGGUUCAGCAAAAAGAUAUGGUUGAGCGUCAACCAAAACUUCAGUGAGGUUGAGUUGCUUAAAAGAACCAUCAUCUGUGCCGAUGGAAACGCCCAACUAGCUGGAAAUGCAAAGGACGCGCUUCAUCGAGCCCUAAUGCAGGCCUUGAAGGACCACAAGACCUUCCUGAUAAUGGAUGAUGUGUGGGACAAAGGAGCUUGGGAGGGUGUGCUAAAAAUACCCUUUGCCAAUGCUGCUGCUUCAGGCAGCCGUGUCCUCAUCACAACUAGAGAAGGACGCGUUGCCCAAGGGGUGACAGCUAUACAGCCCUACCACCACGUCGACACAUUAGCACCCGAUGACGCUUGGUCAUUGCUCAAGAAGCAGGUACGCUCAAGUGAGAUAGAUGAAGACCACAUCAAUACGCUAAUGGAUAUCGGACUGAAAAUUAUACAGAAAUGUGGUUGUUUACCAGUUGCUGUUAAAGUAAUGGGAGGACUCUUGCGUGAAAGAGGGGGGCUCCGGCGUGACUGGCAGCAGGUUUUGGAUGAUUCUAAAUGGUCAACAACUAAAAUGCCCAAUGAGCUCGACCACACAGUAUACAUAAGCUAUGAAUAUAUGCCUUCUUACCUGAAGCAAUGCUUUCUGUACUACUCUCUUCUCCCUAAAAGUAGAAAUUUUACUAUGGAUGAAGUUGUUGCAAUGUGGAUUAGUGAAGGAUUUAUUCACGGAAAUUCUAAUGAUUUAGAAGAAUUGGGAAAAAUUUACUACAAGGAGUUGGUAUCUAGGAACCUCAUAGAGCCCAAUAAAUCGUAUGCUGAUCUAUGGGUUUGCAGCAUGCAUGAUGUUGUCCGCUCAUUUGCUCAGUAUAUGACUAAAGAUGAAGCACUCAUAGCUAAAGAUGGAGACAAUGAUAUUCUUGCUGAACUUAAUUCACAAAACUUUCUGCGGUUGUCCAUAGAAACUAACCAAUCACAAUCAGGUGAAAUUAAUUGGAAAUGUCUACAGGCGCAAAAAUCAGUGAGAACAUUGAUCUCAACUAUCCAGAUUAAGAUGAAGCCUGGUGAUUCGUUGGCUACUUUUUCUAGUUUGCGGACUCUGCAUAUGAAAUCUGCAGAUAUGUCCAUAUUGCUUGAAUCGUUGCAUCAACUCAAGCACCUGAGGUAUCUAACACUAGUAAAUGCUGAUGUAUCUGUACUUCCAGGAAACAUUGGCAAGAUGAAACUAUUGCAAUUCCUUGACCUUGGUGGAUGUGCAAAAUUGGUGAAUCUUCCUGAUAGCAUUGUGAAGCUUGACCAGCUAAGGUUACUUUCACUUCCCAAAGCAAGUAUGGUACCUAGGGGGUUCAGUGGUCUGACAAAUAUGAGGAAACUAAGUAUGUUUCGAGCGCACAUGGAUGGUGAUUGGUGCAGUUUGGACGAGUUGGGGUCUCUUUCCCAACUCAGGUUUCUUGGAUUAGUUCAAUUGGAGAAUGUAUCUGCUGCCUCAUUUGCUGCUAAUGCCAGGCUCGGCGAGAAGACGCAUCUUAUCAUGCUACUCCUAGACUGCACCAGUAAACUGGCAGAUGAUGGGUCUCUCAAAGAGAAGGAAGGUGUUUCCGAGGAAGAGCAACAACGAAUUGAGAAGGUUCUCGAUAAGCUCUGCCCUCCACUUGGUGUAGAAUAUCUUGAAAUCACAGGCUAUUUUGGCCAGCAACUCCCGAGUUGGAUGAUGUCCACAUCAAUGGUGCCCCUCAACAACCUGAAGACUAUAUUUUUUCAUAAUCUGGCUUGUUGCACGCAACUUCCCAAUGGGUUGUGCCAGUUCCCCAUUCUGCAGUUUAUACAGGUCUCUCGUGCUCCAUGCAUCAAACAUGUGGGGACUGGAUUCGUGCAGGCGGCGGUAGCUUCAUUUCCGAGGUUAAAUGAAUUGAAGUUAAACGCCAUGGUGGAAUGGGAGGAGUGGGAGUGGGAGGAGCAAGUACAAGCCAUGCGUCGUUUGGAGAAGUUUGUGCUCAGUUAUUGCAGACUGAGGCAUAUCCCUCGAGGCCUUGUCUCCAAUGCAAGCUCUUUGAAAAUAUUAUUUCUCAAACGUGUCAUGAACCUCAGCUACAUUGAGAGCUUUCUUUCUGUUGUUGAGCUUAAAGUGAACGGAUGCCCUGACCUAGAGAGGAUCACCAAUCUCCCCAAUAUGCUGAAGCUUACCAUUCGGAACUGCCCAAAGUUGAAGGUGCUGGAGCAUAUCGCUUCACUCGAGUGGCUGAUCCUGGAGGAUUACACCAUGGAAAAACUCCCAGAGUACAUGCGAGUCAUAAAGGCAAGGCAUUUGUUGUUAUUCUGCAGGCUAUGGUUGCUCUCUGUGGUAGCCGCGGGGCAAUCUGGCACUGAGUGGGACAAGUUCAACCAAGUGGAGCAUGUCAAGGCAUAUGCAGGUGAUGGAGACAACCAAAGAAAAUGGUAUGUUUUGUACACGAGAGGAGACAACUACAAGUUUGAUUCCAAUAUUAGCAGCUCUACCAUAUUUGAAGAACCCUUAUCAUCUUGUAUGGUGGACCAACAAGGAUUUGAGUCUCUGUACAGAAUGAGAAGAAGCACCUUCAGUUAUAUCUGCAGCUUGGUGAGGAUCCCAUUUUUUGAAGAUAUGAUGACAAGGGGUCACACCUUUGUUGACGGGAAGGUGAUGUCUUUGCAAGAUGGAGUAGCCAUUGCUCUGAGUGUACUGAACUCUGGUGAGCCAUCACAGAUCGUAGGAUCCUCUCUUAGUGUCAGCGAGUCAACUGUCUCGGUGAUAACUCAAAGGUUUGUUGAGGCUAUGUGGGAGCGAGCAUUCUAUCACAUAUGUUGGGCAGAUGCUGAAAUGGAAAAGAUCAAGCGCAUGUUUGACAAGAUUCACGGCCUGCCAAACUGCUGUGGUGUUGUACAUACAACCCACAUCACGUUUGGAUCACAAAACCAUGAACCUGGUGAUGAGCAGAAUGACGAUAAGCUUAUGCUAGUCAUUGAUCCAGAUAUGAAAUUCACUGGCACUCACUUUGGAUCACAAAACCAGUUGAGCGUCUUGCAUGACUCUUCGCUCUUCAAGUCCUGCCAGGAGGGUACUAUGCUGAAUGGCAGUAAGCUCAUGUUAUCAGAUGGCUUGGAAGUUGGGGAAUACAUCAUUGGUGAUGCAGGAUACCCGCUUCUCCCCUGGCUUCUCACACCUUACUCGAUGGAAGACAAGGACCUCCUCUCUGCAGAUGUUCCUCCUUAUCAAGCGGAGUUCAACAGGAGACACUCUUCAGCAUCAACCCUCACACUGGCUGCAUUGGCGAGGUUGAAAGACAAUUGGAAGAUCCUGGACAGAGCUGUCAGUUCAUUCCCAGUUAUGGAAACAAUCGAUGUGUGUUGCAUCUUGCAUAAUAUAGUGAUAGACAUGGAGGAGAUAGAGGAGGAGGAUGUUGUGGGCAUGGAGGAGGAGAAUCACAUUGAGCAAGUGCGGCAGGUAGCAGAUGAGGAUGCUGUUAGGGUGAGGGAUAUACUGUCCCAGCACUUGACCGGAUCUGGAGUCGACGCAACGGCGACGAAAAGGGAAGCUGCAGAGGUAGUUUCAUCGGUUCUAGGAGAUGAAAACAAGGAAUAG